CCUACGGGUGGCAGCAGUGGGGAAUAUUGGGCAAUGGGCGCAAGCCUGACCCAGCAACGCCGCGUGAAGGAAGAAGGCCCUCGGGUUGUAAACUUCUUUUGUCAGGGACGAAGAAAGUGACGGUACCUGACGAAUAAGCCACGGCUAACUACGUGCCAGCAGCCGCGGUAAUACGUAGGUGGCAAGCGUUAUCCGGAUUUACUGGGUGUAAAGGGCGUGUAGGCGGGACUGCAAGUCAGAUGUGAAAUUCCAGGGCCCAACCCUGGAACUGCAUUUGAAACUGUAGUUCUUGAGUGAUGGAGGGGUAGGGGGAAUGCGUGGGGGAGGGGGGAAAUGCGUAGAUA
rnacentral:rRNA from 1 species